UACACCCAUCCCUAAAAAGAUUCUGUAAAUUGACUUUAUUUACUACUUCAUGUAUAGAAGAUUCUCUCAUAGAAUAGAAUAGAAUAGUGUGAACCAAACACGGCCAUUUUGAAGGCCAGCUAUUUGGUUUCAUCUGUCACUUCAACUGAUCUUGUAGGAAAGCAUGAGGGCUUUGGCUGAUAUGAGAAGUGCAAAGGAGAAAGAACUCAAUGCUCUACUUUCUGGAGACAAUGAUUCCUGCUCUUGCUUCAUUGAGGUUCAGGCAGGGGCUGGUGGCACUGAGAGCACGGACUGGGCUGCAAUGGUCAUGAACAUGUGUAGAUCAUGGGCUCAGCGACGGGGAUAUACAAUCACUGUGGUAGAAGAGAUGCCUGGUGAAGAAUCAAGGUUUAUUUGUUUCUCAUUGAUACCUUUUGCUGAAUAAACGACUUAUUCGUAACGGCCCUUUUGCUAUUUAUAUAUCUUUUGCUAGAAACGUAUCCCUUCUUGGGAUACAUUUUGCCUUCUUCUGAGACAGUCACUUUCUAAUUCAAGUAUCAUGUAGUAAAAAGAACUCAUACUAAACUGCUGCUAUUUCCAGAGGGCCACUAUCAAAGUUGACGGUGAA